GUCGAGGGGCAGCGGGGUUGUAGCAAUACAACUGCCGGCGACCGGCGCACGGGUGAGUAACACGUAUGUAACCUGCCCUCUGCAGGGGGAUAAGCGGAAGAAAUUCCGUCUAAUACCGCAUAAUACAAUUUGGAGACAUCUCCGGGUUGUCAAAGGAGUGAUCCGGCAGAGGAUGGACAUGCGGCGCAUUAGCUAGUCGGCCGGGUAACGGCCCACCGAGGCUACGAUGCGUAGGGGUUCUGAGAGGAAGGUCCCCCACACUGGUACUGAGACACGGACCAGACUCCUACGGGAGGCAGCAGUGAGGAAUAUUGGUCAAUGGGCGGAAGCCUGAACCAGCCAAGUCGCGUGAGGGAAGACGGUCCUAUGGAUUGUAAACCUCUUUUGCAGGGGAGCAAGGCGCGGUACGUGUACCGCGAAGGAGAGUACCCUGAGAAAAAGCAUCGGCUAACUCCGGGCCAGCAGCCGCGGUAAUACGGAGGAUGCGAGCGUUAUCCCGGAUUUAUUGGGUUUAAAGGGUG
rnacentral:rRNA from 1 species